AUUGAACGCUGGCGGCAGGCCUAACACAUGCAAGUCGAGCGGUAGCACAGAGAGCUUGCUCUCGGGUGACGAGCGGCGGACGGGUGAGUAAUGUCUGGGAAACUGCCCGAUGGAGGGGGAUAACUACUGGAAACGGUAGCUAAUACCGCAUAACGUCGCAAGACCAAAGAGGGGGACCUUCGGGCAUCUUGCCAUCGGAUGUGCCCAGAUGGGAUUAGCUAGUAGGUGGGGUAACGGCUCACCUAGGCGACGAUCCCUAGCUGGUCUGAGAGGGUGACCAGCCACACUGGAACUGAGACACGGUCCAGACUCCUACGGGAGGCAGCAGUGGGGAAUAUUGCACAAUGGGCGCAAGCCUGAUGCAGCCAUGCCGCGUGUAUGAAGAAGGCCUUCGGGUUGUAAAGUACUUUCAGCGGGGAGGAAGGUGUUGAGGUUAAUAACCUCAGCAAUUGACGUUACCCGCAGAAGAAGCACCGGCUAACUCCGUGCCAGCAGCCGCAGUAA
rnacentral:rRNA from 1 species